GCCAAUCUCCAUAUAUCCCCUUGGGUCUAUGCAAAUGCAUCAACAACCAAAAAAAAAAAAGGAUUUUAUAUUACCGCAAUCAGAAGUAAGAGAACAGCAUCGAACCAUCAAUUGCCAACCGCCUUACUUAUUCCACCGAAAAGGUAAUCUGCAUCACCCUACAAUGAAAGAAGAUUAUAAAAAGGAAAUUGGAAAUAUAAAACUACUAUAAAAAGACUUCUGAUAUUUUUACAUACAUAUAUUGGCAUUCUCUUUGUCAAACAUCACUAUCUUGGGCCGGAACCAGGAAGGGAUAAGUUGCCGCAGGUCAGUCUCCAACGUGCCCUCGACGUCAAUGAGAUUUCUAUACCUUUCCUAUCUACCAGUCAUCACCUUCAUUUAUUCUUGGUUUCUAAUCCAUGGUUUCAACCACGGCUUUUAAAAUUAUGAUUCAGGUUGACGCAUAUUACCAGUCUUUGUUUAAUUAUAAAUAAGUCCUCCAGGCAUGCAAUGAGUCUUUGUUAAAUUAUAAAGAAACCCUAUAGACAGGCAAUCGUAGUUUCUUCCGUAUAUUUUCUCCGAAGAAAUACAGGAAUCAACUGACACCGGUCAAAUGCUUUACUUCCUGGUUGCUUGCUGUUGAUGCAUCAGCUUAACCUACUCCUAUUAAUGAUGGAAAAAUUUACUCGCAUAUGAGACCCUGGGGAGAGGUGGAUUGCUUAUACUGUGGUCUGCCAACUAAGUAUCAGUGAAGAAUAUUGUAUGGCCGGCUGACCUAGUCAGCAUUGGGUGCAUUGCAUCGCUCCCUCACGUCCAUAUUGGCAUCAGAAAUUGAAGCGUAUAAGUAACCAUUUGCGAGAAUAACGAUGUUUUUUUGUUUAUGGAUAUUUUGCAUAUGCUGAUAAACAUUUCAAAAUAACCCCUAAGUUGGUUCUGAGCCAGUUGAUCCGCAGGACAGCAAAGCACAAGGUUGUAAUUAUUAAGUUCUUGGGAACAUUUCGUUACCUGCUUCGCAGCGGUGCUCAAGAGGGUCGGGUUGAAGCAGUGGUCCUUUGCUUUCUCCAAGGCUGAUAAGCGUUAUCGCAGCAGAGAAGCUUCCACUUUGUGGUGUCCUGGCUCCACUGGGCGCCCCAGUUACAGGACGCGCAUAGCAUGCAUCCAUGUGAAAGUCUUCUAAUUAGAUAGAUGCGGCUCUCUGGACUGGAAAAGCGACAUAAUUUACAGCGACAUGACUCCCAAUAAAGGUCAGGAGCUGUCACCCAAUUGGAUGCCUCUAAUUUCCUCUUGCUUGGCAUGAAUCCCACAUUCCCCAGAAUGCCUCCGGAUCUGGACUAACAAUAACAAAAAAUGGUCUUGGAUUUCUAGAUUAGCUGUGUGCCAAUCGACCAAGCCUGCUCGCAAAGGACUUCACUAGAGAAGGCCCUCUACACACACACAACAACAACAACAACAACUACUCUCAUACCUUUUGGAUCCACAUGCAUCCAUGUACAUGCCCGAGAACAACUCUGGAUUCCAUUAUUUUUAUUGUUUUUGUGAUCGAAUUAGUAGUUCAGUGAUGUGCCCUUUGUGCUUUUCGGUGCUCUGCCGUGCGAGUGCGCUUGGAUGGAUAGAACCAUAACACCUCUGUAUUGGGGAAGAAUGGAUCCACGUGCAUGAGCAUUUACUAGCAUUUAUGGGUGCAGGUGUAUAUGGGCAUGCAUGCUUAGAUACAUCGACAGAUAGGCAUAGACAACUGCGACCCCUCUGGAGUCUGGACAAGGACGAAGCAUCAGAAUAAUGUCACUAAAAAUGCUUGAUGCAAAAAGAAACAAAAUAAAAAAAAGCAACAUAUAUCUAAAAAUUUAUUGGCUAAUUUUCCAAAGUUACUCUUAUCAUUAGUUAAAGUGGCGCCUCCAGCUUUUACUGUCAUCCCCGUUGGCCGUUGAAUCAUCCUAUAACAAGUGAAAGUAAGCUCAAAGGUGCUUCGAAGAACCGUGGUUGCAGGGAGAAUUAAAGCAGUGCACCUUCCUUAACUUUGGUGUAUCGAGUCACUAUUCAUACAGAUUUUGACUUUGUUUUGUUGAUAUAGUAUUUCUUCACUGAUGGUUAUCGUAGCAUAUUGCAGUUGACCACAUAAAUCUCUUUUCUUGAUCUUUCUCUUCAUUUCUUAAUGAUUUCCUUGAACUAUUAGUGCCAUUAUGUAUCACGAAAAUUAGUUUGGUGUAUUCGCUCUGUUUCCUUCCAACAUUUCUUUCCCCAUUAUUUUUCAUGUAGACCCACAUGCUCAUGAUCCCAAAUGCAGGAAUUCCGUAAUCUAUGAAAACAAGAUGUAGGGCAACAUAAAUCAUUUAUCAAUAGCAUUUAGAUAUGCUCAUCUGCAAGCAUUUUCAUCAACAGUAUCAUGUCUCGUCUAUGAAGUAAGGCUUAAGCUCUUCUCAUGCUAAAGAAAUGGAAAAUUUGAAAUUGUAAUGUAUAAUCCUAUACUGCUGAGUGUAAUAAGUAUUUUCCACUCAUUCAUCGCUUCAUAUCUUUGGAGGAAUGUUACAUCGACGAUGUUAUCUCAUGUCAUUUCCCCAAAAGCUAGAAGAUAAAAAGUUCUAUCUAGUAAGUGCCGCAUAAUACUCCUUUUUGUUUGUUACAAGGUGAACAGCCUCAGCUCUCAUAAUUUAAAUGUAUUAGACCACUGUUUCAUAACUGAUGUUUUUUCCAUCUAUUUUUUAUCAUCGCUGGCAAUGAGCAAUGCAUGUUAUUGGCUGCUUGGGAUUACUAUUAAUGGGCCAAAAAAUUUCAAGUUAUGCUACUAAAAGAUGAUGAACUAAUCCAACAAUCAACAAUCUCCUAUCAUGACCCAAAGUCUUGCUGAAAAGUAACCUAAUGCAAAAUAGGAAGAUAAAUGACUCCUAAAUCACACCUAGACAAUAAGUCUUAACCAAUGUUGUAACACAUCACCCUCUCUAAUUUGUAAGAACCUUCCUUUUAGUUUCAGACUGUACAAGCCCUGCCAACUCUCUUUAUUUUCUAUAGCUCUUUUUCUCAUGCUUAAUCAUCAAGAAAUUUUUAUUUUUCUUCAUGCAUCCCUAUCGCUUAGUAUACUUGUCGCCCUUGUGUCAAGGUUGAAUGGAAUAUGGAUCUACAGCUUGCAUGUGCAUCAAAGUGUUUUAGAAAGUAAUCCUGAAGGAAGAACUGCCCCAGAACAAUAAAAAUCAAUGGAUUGUACAUGGAUCCUUCUCUUCUUCAAAGAAAGAUUCAAUGACUUGCAAACACUUCUUUAGAAUGCAUAUCAUCAUAGAGAGGACUUAAUAUGAACCAUGGACAGAUUGAAGGUUGUCAAAGAAGGAAAGAAUUCUUGUAAUCAUAUAGGGACAAUACUAUCGGACUCCGCAAGUAAAUGAGCAAUCGUUGUAUGAGAGACAGAAAUUCUCGAUGAUUAACAGAAGGGAAUGAAUCCUUCAUCCAUAAAAUGAUCCUUAUCUUCAGUGAAGCAGAAAUCACGUACCUUCAAUACAAAAAAAAUAUCAUAAUAAGAUCCCAUCAACCUCGUUGUGUAGACAUGGUACAACUACCACCGAAAAUUCAGACAAUCUACUCUGUCACCAUCUUUUAUUAGAAAAAGAAGCUUGGGAGUUGGGACCAAUUUUUUUCUUGUUGGAGCAAUAUAAUAGGAAUGCCUAGCAAUGAGGACGUGUAAAUCCAACCCCAGAUAAGUGGAGCGAGGCUGGAAGAUUGACUUAUGAUUAUGAUCAAUGCAAAAGAAGAGAGAAAAGGGGUUUUCCUCCUUUCCACAUGAACUACUGAAACUUGUGGUUUUUGACAGAAAGAAGACUCUUUUCAAUUUCUGACCAUAUUCAGAGAUUACGAAGAGAGUUUUGUGAAUGUUUCGAGUUGAAGUUUUUUUAAUAUGAAUUACAUCAUAGCUGUUGGACUAAGAGCACCUAAUCUUCAAUAACUUCAACAACUUUAGCAGAAGUCUAUCAGCAGCUUUUACUCGCACAGAUGUCAUAGAUGUAGUCACUCCCACCAUGCAAGUGCAUGCCGUUUUAGCUUCUUUUUUUCCUCUCUUUUAUUCGCAAAGCUACUGCUUUAUCUUUAUAGCAGCAGGAUCGCCUUCCAUUAGGCAACUUCAUGAUUCAGAAGAACAUGACCUACAGCCGCAGAUGACUGCUUAACACCAGAGCUUGAAAUUGUCCAUGGAAAUUGGGGGAUAUUAUUUUCAUCCUUACUUAUGCUACUUACAUGGUGGAUCACUAUCUUAAACAUUCAGAAGUCCUUGUCGCUACUCUUUAGGUGGUGCACCAUCUUAUGGAUGGAAUGCGUGACAUCAACAGCUAAUGUUCUCGUCAACACCGCAAAAAACUAAAUAUUUACUACACUUUCUAAUCUUCCUGGGAAGAUUGCAGAGGUAAUCAAACUCCCUGUUUUCCAAAAGGGGGAGGAUAGAAUUCUCUUUUCUACUGCUAAACAAUUGAUAUACUCCUGUUCAAAGUGUUCAUCAUUAUAGCAUGAACAUGAAGCAUACUGAUUAACUGAAAUUUUAGUGGAGAGUAGAGAGAGAUCAUAAAGGAAACUGCCUCCCUUUUCUGACUACUGGUAGAGGUCUAGCAGAUAUUUUUGCUAGCUUGUGAGGGCGAAAAUUGGCUUAAUGAGUCUCUUAUCAAGGUUGGGCAUCCUAGAAUUCAAGAACCAGCUUGAGGGAGCCGUUUUAAAGACAUCCAAAUUACAAUACUUAGACACCAGUAAGUAAAUUUGAUGCACUGCCAUCCCUCUUUCCAAUUCAGAAUCCUUUUUAAGCGAGUUGUGUAAUCCACACCAAUUGUGAUAAUUUAUAAUAAUUUAUGCAUAUUAGUUAUACCUUAGUAAUUCAACAACUGAGAAAUUAUUUUUUAAAAGAUGACUCCUUUGGCUGCCCAGAUGACCCACCUAUGUGAAGACAUCUAGGUGCUUGCUUUUAACAUUUUGCAUUAUGUUUGCUAAUAUGGGAUGAGAUUGAUAUAAUUAAUGUUGGACAUGGCAGGUGGAUAAGUGCAACUUGCUGGAUCAUUACCAUUUUAUAGGCUUCUCCUUAUACUUACCUCGACUUUGGCACUCGCCUAGGUGCUUAGGCACUUGGCAGUUUCCAAAGAUGCCCAUCUAUUACAAUUUUUUUAAUAGCUCAAUACAUGACUAAAUAGAAAGAAUAAAAAAAAAAAGGGAUUUGAUCCUAGCCCUCUUGAUCUUUCUUUCCUCCUUUUCCUCCUUUUCCUCCUCUUAAAUUAUGCCCUCUUUAUCUUAUUAUUAAACAGAAACAAGGGAUCACUAUUAAAGACCGGAUGAAAUUGCAUCUCUAGAUAUUAUACCAGGAUCUAUAUGUUGCUUCAAAACAAAGAAGCGUUCAAAUUGAAAAAGAUAAGAGAAUUAAAUAAUGUGGAGAAAUGCAUCUAUUCAAUCAAGAUCAAUUAUAAAUUGCUUCAAUCGUCACCAAAAAUAAUAGAAAGUGCCUCACGGCAUAAUUAUGUUAAAAAUGAACUUGUACAAAUAGUUGACAUUUAUCAUCGCAUGAAACCAGAAACAUAUAGUCAUAGCAUAUAUACCUUUUGCUCUUUUGGUGCUACAUUGAAGCAAUAUUUAUGCUACAGAGUUAUUUAUGAUAGCGAAAUCCUUUAAAAUUUUUGUAAUUAAACUUACGCAAGAUUGGGAAAUUAUGGUCCUCUCGUUGUAAUCUUAUUUGGAGACUCGUAGAGACUAAAUCUACAAGAUUUCAAGCAAGCAAACAAAUUUCGAAAUCAAGACUAGAUCGACCAAAACAGCAAAAGCACUCAAAGAGAAAGAUAAAACCACAUCCAGAUUUCACGAUAAUCGUAAUGGAGCUUCAAUCUAAUUUCAAGAAACUCGUAAACAAAAAAAAGAGAAGAAAAUGUGAUCGCAGAUACAAACAACGUCAAGAAAGGGACUACCUCUCGAAUUCAGAUCACGAAUUCACGAUUCAUGUGAGACGAACCUUAGAAUUCUCUCCUCUUUAUUAAAUUCCCCCAGCUUUCGCGUCGCCUUCAAUCGCUCGUUUUCGCACCUCUUCUUGAUUUUUCUUCUCUCCCCCCUUUUCUCUAUAUUUAUGAAUGGUCGCAAACUCUCAGCCAGGUAAAAUUAUUAGAUGGACCAGAUUCAGUGGAUCAGUCCAAAUCCUAAA
rnacentral:lncRNA from 1 species